CCUACGGGCGGCUGCAGUGAGGAAUAUUGGUCAAUGGACGAGAGUCUGAACCAGCCAAGUAGCGUGAGGGAAGACGGUCCUAUGGAUUGUAAACCUCUUUUAUAGGGGAGCAAAAGAUGCCACGCGUGGCGUUCCGUGUGUACCCGAAGAAAAAGCAUCGGCUAACUCCGUGCCAGCAGCCGCGGUAAUACGGAGGAUGCGAGCGUUAUCCGGAUUUAUUGGGUUUAAAGGGAGCGGAGGGGGAUGGUUAAGUCAGUGGUGAAAUUGAGCGGCUCAACCUUUAUAGAGCCGUUGAAACUGGUAUUCUUGAGUAAGGUAGAGGUAGGCGGAAUGCGUGGUGUAGCGGUGAAAUGCUUAGAUAUCACGCAGAACUCCGAUUGCGAAGGCAGCACACCGGCGUGCAACUGACACUGAUGCACGAAAGUGUGGGUAUCGAACAGGAUUAGAUACCCUGGUAGUC
rnacentral:rRNA from 1 species